GGGCGAANGCCUGACGGNAGCAACGCCGCGUGAGUGAUGAAGGUCUUCGGAUCGUAAAACUCUGUUAUUAGGGAAGAACAWAUGUGUNAGUAACUNUGCACNUCUUGACGGUACCUAAUCAGAAAGCCACGGCUAACUACGUGCCAGCAGCCGCGGUAAUACGUAGGNRRMAARCGUUAUCCGGAAUUAUUGGGCGUAAAGCGCGCGUAGGCGGUUUUUUAAGUCUGAUGUGAAAGCCCACGGCUCAACCGUGGAGGGUCAUUGGAAACUGGAAAACUUGAGUGCAGAAGAGGAAAGUGGAAUUCCAUGUGUAGCGGUGAAAUGCGCAGAGAUAUGGAGGAACACC
rnacentral:rRNA from 1 species